CCUACGGGAGGCAGCAGUGGGGAAUAUUGGGCAAUGGGCGCAAGCCUGACCCAGCAACGCCGCGUGAAGGAAGAAGGCUUUCGGGUUGUAAACUUCUUUUGUCAGGGACGAAGCACGUGACGGUUCCUGACGAAUACGCCACGGCUAACUACGUGCCAGCAGCCGCGGUACUACGUAGGGGGCAAGCGUUAUCCGGAUUUACUGGGUGUAAAGGGCGUGUAGGCGGGGAGGCAAGUCAGAUGUGAAAGCUACGGGCUCAACCUGUGGACUGCAUUUGAAACUGUUGUUCUGGAGUGCAGGAGAGGCAAUCGGAAUUCCGUGUGUAGCGGUGAAAUGCGUAGAUAUACGGAGGAACACCAGUGGCGAAGGCGGAUUGCUGGACAGUAACUGACGCUGAGGCGCGAAAGCGUGGGGAGCAAACAGGAUUAGAUACCCCUGUAGUC
rnacentral:rRNA from 1 species